rnacentral:rRNA from 1 species
GACGAACGCUGGCGGCGCGCCUAACACAUGCAAGUCGAACGAGCGAGAGAGAGCUUGCUUUCUUGAGCGAGUGGCGCACGGGUGAGUAACGCGUGAGGAACCUGCCUCAAAGAGGGGGACAACAGUUGGAAACGACUGCUAAUACCGCAUAAGCCCACGGUGCCGCAUGGCACCGAGGGAAAAGGAGCAAUCCGCUUUGAGUUGGCCUCGCUUCCGAUUAGCUAGUUGGGGAGGUAACGGACCACCAAGGCGACGACCGGUAGCCGGACUGGGAGGUUGAGCGGCCACAUUGACACUGGGACGCAGCCCAGACUACUGCGGGAGGCAGGAGUGGGUAAUAUAGCACAAUGGGGGGAACCCUGAUGCAGCGACGCCGCGAGAAGGAAGAAGGUCUUCGGAUUGUAAACUCCUGUUGUUGGGGAAGAUAAUGACGGUACCCAACAAGGAAGUGACGGCUAACUACGUG